rnacentral:misc_RNA from 1 species
CCCAAAGACAUUCAACUCGCCAG